AUGGCUCAGGACGAACGCUGGCGGCGUGCCUAAUACAUGCAAGUAGAACGCUGAAGAGAGGAGCUUGCUCUUCUUGGAUGAGUUGCGAACGGGUGAGUAACGCGUAGGUAACCUGCCUUGUAGCGGGGGAUAACUAUUGGAAACGAUAGCUAAUACCGCAUAACAAUGGAUGACCCAUGUCAUUUAUUUGAAAGGGGCAAAUGCUCCACUACAAGAUGGACCUGCGUUGUAUUAGCUAGUAGGUGAGGUAACGGCUCACCUAGGCGACGAUACAUAGCCGACCUGGGAGGGUGAUCGGCCACACUGGGACUGAGACACGGCCCAGACUCCUACGGGAGGCAGCAGUAGGGAAUCUUCGGCAAUGGGGGCAACCCUGACCGAGCAACGCCGCGUGAGUGAAGAAGGUUUUCGGAUCGUAAAGCUCUGUUGUAAGUCAAGAACGAGUGUGAGAGUGGAAAGUUCACACUGUGACGGUAGCUUACCAGAAAGGGACGGCUAACUACGUGCCAGCAGCCGCGGUAAUACGUAGGUCCCGAGCGUUGUCCGGAUUUAUUGGGCGUAAAGCGAGCGCAGGCGGUUUGAUAAGUCUGAAGUUAAAGGCUGUGGCUCAACCAUAGUUCGCUUUGGAAACUGUCAAACUUGAGUGCAGAAGGGGAGAGUGGAAUUCCAUGUGUAGCGGUGAAAUGCGUAGAUAUAUGGAGGAACACCGGUGGCGAAAGCGGCUCUCUGGUCUGUAACUGACGCUGAGGCUCGAAAGCGUGGGGAGCGAACAGGAUUAGAUACCCUGGUAGUCCACGCCGUAAACGAUGAGUGCUAGGUGUUGGAUCCUUUCCGGGAUUCAGUGCCGCAGCUAACGCAUUAAGCACUCCGCCUGGGGAGUACGACCGCAAGGUUGAAACUCAAAGGAAUUGACGGGGGCCCGCACAAGCGGUGGAGCAUGUGGUUUAAUUCGAAGCAACGCGAAGAACCUUACCAGGUCUUGACAUCCCGAUGCUAUUUCUAGAGAUAGAAAGUUACUUCGGUACAUCGGUGACAGGUGGUGCAUGGUUGUCGUCAGCUCGUGUCGUGAGAUGUUGGGUUAAGUCCCGCAACGAGCGCAACCCCUAUUGUUAGUUGCCAUCAUUCAGUUGGGCACUCUAGCGAGACUGCCGGUAAUAAACCGGAGGAAGGUGGGGAUGACGUCAAAUCAUCAUGCCCCUUAUGACCUGGGCUACACACGUGCUACAAUGGUUGGUACAACGAGUUGCGAGUCGGUGACGGCAAGCUAAUCUCUUAAAGCCAAUCUCAGUUCGGAUUGUAGGCUGCAACUCGCCUACAUGAAGUCGGAAUCGCUAGUAAUCGCGGAUCAGCACGCCGCGGUGAAUACGUUCCCGGGCCUUGUACACACCGCCCGUCACACCACGAGAGUUUGUAACACCCGAAGUCGGUGAGGUAACCUUUUGGAGCCAGCCGCCUAAGGUGGGAUAGAUGAUGCGGGAAAG
rnacentral:rRNA from 1 species